UGGCGGCAGGCUUAACACAUGCAAGUCGAGCGGGGAAGUAUAGCUUGCUAUACGACCUAGCGGCGGACGGGUGAGUAAUGCUUAGGAAUCUGCCUAUUAGUGGGGGACGACAUUCCGAAAGGAAUGCUAAUACCGCAUACGCCCUACGGGGGAAAGCAGGGGGUCUUCGGACCUUGCGCUAAUAGAUGAGCCUAAGUCAGAUUAGCUAGUUGGUGGGGUAAAGGCCUACCAAGGCGACGAUCUGUAGCGGGUCUGAGAGGAUGAUCCGCCACACUGGGACUGAGACACGGCCCAGACUCCUACGGGAGGCAGCAGUGGGGAAUAUUGGACAAUGGGCGAAAGCCUGAUCCAGCCAUGCCGCGUGUGUGAAGAAGGCCUUUUGGUUGUAAAGCACUUUAAGCGAGGAGGAGGCUACUUGGAUUAAUACUCUAGGAUAGUGGACGUUACUCGCAGAAUAAGCACCGGCUAACUCUGUGCCAGCAGCCGCGGUAAUACAGAGGGUGCGAGCGUUAAUCGGAUUUACUGGGCGUAAAGCGUGCGUAGGCGGCUUUUUAAGUCGGAUGUGAAAUCCCUGAGCUUAACUUAGGAAUUGCAUUCGAUACUGGGAAGCUAGAGUAUGGGAGAGGAUGGUAGAAUUCCAGGUGUAGCGGUGAAAUGCGUAGAGAUCUGGAGGAAUACCGAUGGCGAAGGCAGCCAUCUGGCCUAAUACUGACGCUGAGGUACGAAAGCAUGGGGAGCAAACAGGAUUAGAUACCCUGGUAGUCCAUGCCGUAAACGAUGCCUACUAGCCGUUGGGGCCUUUGAGGCUUUAGUGGCGCAGCUAACGCGAUAAGUAGACCGCCUGGGGAGUAC
rnacentral:rRNA from 1 species